UACGAAGGGGGCUAGCGUUGCUCGGAAUCACUGGGCGUAAAGCGCACGUAGGCGGAUUGCUAAGUCAGGGGUGAAAUCCUGGAGCUCAACUCCAGAACUGCCUUUGAUACUGGCGAUCUUAGAGUCCGGGAGAGGUGAGUGGAACUGCGAGUGUAGAGGUGAAAUUCGUAGAUAUUCGCAAGAACACCAGUGGCGAAGGCGGCUCACUGGCCCGGUACUGACGCUGAGGUGCGAAAGCGUGGGGAGCAAACAGG
rnacentral:rRNA from 1 species